rnacentral:lncRNA from 1 species
GUGGGCAAGAUGGCCGCCGGUGAGAGUCGCACACCGCCGUCGCUGGCCGGGACUUAGCAAAGUAAGGAUUCCCGUAAUGACUACAGGUCACCCUGGAGGAAGGCACACCAGAGAUAAGAAGCCGCUCCAAUAAGUAUCUCCUGUUCCGCGUGGCUAGCCCAGAGCCCCACCUCACGGCAGAGGCUUACUUCUCAGCUGAUGGCGAGGCCCUGCGGGAGCCAGUUAGAAAAAUGUGCCCCUUGUCACUCAUGCCGACUGACCGUAGCCAGUCAGGUAAUUGACCAGCAGGGAGGAUGAGAACCAGGCUUCUGGCUCUCCCUGUCCCGCUUACUAGAUACCACUCCAUCAGCCCGGGUAAUGGGAGCCCUAAUCUUUCAUCACCUGCUCCCUAAGCUGUGCGCUGGCCGGAAUGUUCCAGAAAAGAUGGAAAGCAACAAAGUCCAAGCAGGACAGUGCACCGGGGCCCUGUGAGGACGGCCCGAGUGGCCAGAUCUCCUGCUCCCCCUCCCCCCGCCCCCGUCUCCAGGACUCCAAAAGCAGAUCCCCGCAGACCGAAAUCCCUCCAGAGUCCUCACGGCCUGUUGAACAAGCUCGUCUGUACAGUGCGCAUCUAUCCUUCUCACUCACUGCUGCCCCCAACUCGCACCCUAGGAGGGUUAUGUGCAGAUGCGAAUGGUGACUUUUAUGAGCUGCCCGAAGCUGUGUGCCCAGAACUGCACUGGAUCCCAGAAGGCGGUGCCGUUACGUCCAUUUUUCAGAUGGUGAAAUGGAGGCAUGGAAGUUAAAGCCUCUACCACCUGCUGCCCUCAAACCUGAAAUCCAGCAGGUGGUUCUGCCGGAGGUAAGCAUGGAGCCAAGCAGACAGUCGGCACGGGAACCGCAGCAUCACCCACCUCGGGAGGGCCUCAUGCUGCUGCCGCCAGCACUGGCACUCCCCGUUUCGGACAUCCUGCCUCGCAUCUCUUGACUGUCACAGCUCAGCUUGAAUGCAGAGUCUCCACGGCCGGCUGAGGCCACAAACCUCUCUCUCAAAUCUGUGCCCUGGUCUGUCUGCUUUAGGGCCGGAUGACAGCCCCUUUCUGGAGUUGCCACUGUGGCUCAGCGGAUUAAGAACUAGACUGGUACCCAUGAGGCUGCAGGGUGACGUGCAGCCAUGUCAUGAGAAGGACACUUACGCAGACUGGAACACGGAGAGGAACAAGCAAUGACAAGCACGAACUUGGCUCCCCUGAGAGUCAGCCACCUUGGCCUCCACUGUAGCCUCAGCCAGCACCUUCGCGGCAACCUCAUGGGAGACCCUAGGCCAGAACCUCCAGCUGAUCAGUUCCAGAAAUCCUGCCCCAAAGAAAAAUGGGCCGUUCUAAGCCUGUUUGGAAGGGAUUUCUAAUACAGUAAAGAUAAUUAACCCUUCGUCUCUAUCCCCCCGAUGACAGCCAGAGCCCUAUUUUCAAAAUGUAAGUAUCCAGAGUUCCCGCUGUGGCUCAGGAGGUGAAGAACCCGACAGUGUCCAUGAGGAUGUGGGUUCGAUCCCUGGCCUCGCUCAAUGGGUUGAGAAGCCUGUGUUUCCACAAGCUGCAGUGUAAGUGGCGAUGCAGCUCAGACCCCUCGUUGCUGUGGCUGUGGUGUAGGUCAGCAGCUAUAGGUCCGAUUGGACCCCUAGCCUGGGAAAUUCCAUAUGUCGCAGGUUCGGCCCAAAAAAGAAAGAAAAAAAAUUUUUCUAUGGCUUUCAAAUCUUCAGAAAGAACAGUGAAACUGAUGAAACUGGCAUCCAGGCUUCCUCAGGACGUGGCCUCUUGGCUGCAUCCUCGGGCAGCAGCAGCCCCGGAGGGCUCUCCUUUCUGAGGCCCCUCCAUCAGAAACGCUCCUGGAGGGGGUCGCUCACACCCCUAAGAGUGGCCCGUUCCUGUAUCCACACUGACUGACUGACAUCUGCCAGGACGCCAGGGCUCUGACCCAGCUGGUUGACUUUUAUGUCUCUGGCCCCGGGUAUGGAGCACUUGAGUCAUUUUGAUGGGAAGACAGUAAAAGGACUAGAAAAAAAAUUGCCUUCAACUCUGUGACUUCCAAAGCCACCAGCAGGAGACUCAAAGGGCACAAUUUCCACUCAACGUUUGCUAUCAACUCAUCUCCAUAAACCCAUCUUUUCUGGAGCCUCUCAGAUCAUUUCUGGAGGCGGGGAGCUUUGAAAACAAACUCUGCCGGUUUCGCAACUCCCUGUGGCCACCCCCGGGGGCGGGGGGUUGGGGGGAAGAGCCCCGUGUGAUGGUUGAUCCUCCUGGCCCCCCCAGCCAUGGCCCUGGAUCCCAGCGUCCCAUCAGGUAGACCUGCCACCUGGCUGCCCCCUGAAACUGACCUCGAACCCGGAACAGGGAGACUGCAGGUGGGGUGCGGGUUUCCGGGGUGUGCCUGUAGAGGCAAGGGCCGGCAGGUCUGCAGGAAACGUUUACUGCAACCACAGUGCCGGGCUGGGCUGUCGGGCUACGCACAGACCGGGGAUCAUGUCGACGUGUUAGUGAUUCGUGGAGGAGGAGAGGCGGUGGGUAUUUUGUUCUGCUUGUCCGAGUGAUCCGGUUUCCACAUAUGUUGGGAAAUACCUGUUUUAGCCACUCUGAUGGAAAAAAUAUGUGUGAGUCAGCCGGCCUGGAAGUCUUCCAGAAGGUCAGUUAGCCUGGUGGGUGCUUAACCAGGGUGAAGGGCCCCGGGGUUUUAUACUCUGGAAACAUGGGGAAUGGCUUGCCCUGGCUGAGCAGGGUCCCCAGAGCCGCCUGGUGGCCCCAGCCUCGGGCUCCCUCCUCUUACUCAGCACCCCCCCCAACCCACCUCCGCGGCUGCACCUGAGCCUGCCUUCCAUUCCUCCAAGAUGCUGGGCCGCCCUGGGCUCCUCCUCCGGGGCUCUGCAUGGCCUGUUCCUUCCAGCUGUUCAGUCCUACGUCAGCAUCAGCACCCCCGGCGGGGAAGGGGGGGGUCACUCACUGCACCAUCUUUCCCAGGGAGCACCCCCCCCACGCCCUGAGUAAGUCAGGCUGGAGCCAGGAAUUUGAAGUGAGCAAAGGAAUGCUGAUAAUACCAGCUGCGAAAGUGUACACAGGGCCCACUGCCUCACACCCAUACUGGGGCCAUGGCAUUGCCGUGGAGUCGAGGGGGCUGAAGGGUCCUUUUCGCUCUCGGCUCUUUUUCUGAAAUGAGGGCUUGCAGGGUUUGCUGCAACUGAGGGGGGGAACCCCCACAAUGUCUGGUUUCACUCGACAGUUAAUGGUUUAUUUCACCCUCAAGUAUUUGCCUGGUUGCCUUUAAUUAGGAGAAACUCCAAAGAUGCUAAGCGCUUAAACACAAGCAGCUACACUCUUCCACAGCUGCCUCGCCAGGGCAGGUUUGUGCCCCGGUGGGAAGGGGAGGGGGGACUGGGAGGGGCUCCUUCGGUCAAGGGCAAACCUCUGGGGAGGGUGGGGGCGUGAGUUCUUAGCCACUGGCUUGCUCACAGCAGCAGGGACGGGUGCAGUUGCUGGAAGGAGAACUGCAGCCAGGUAGACCCAGGAUACCGCCUGCGGCGCCUGGAUGUGGCUCUCCCAUCGUCAAGGCCAGUGUGGUUUUCAGCACAGGAGCCUCCGCCUGACUGUGCACUACUCAUGCUCUCAUGGCAUGCCUCUCCCCACCUCCUUGUGAAUACCAGUUCUUGAUAAAAUUCACAGCUAGGAGUUCCCUGGUGGCACAGCAGGUUAAGGAUCUGACAUAGUUAUGCUGUGGCUCAGUUCGCUGCUGUGGUGCUACUUAGAUCUCCAGCCUGGGAGCUAACGUAUGCCAUGGGUGUGGCCAGAAAAACAAAUUCACAACUGAAAAAGCAAAUUAAUCAACCAUGACACCUCCCAGUCGCUCUAUGCAGAGGCAUCGGCGGUGCUGGGGUAACUGGGUCUCCAAGGGGUGGGGCAUGAGGUAGUGCUGGCUGAGUUCUCUGGGGAAAACACUCUUCCCGUGGCCCAGCAACUAGCAACAUGCCUGAAUAUUUUAAUCUCUCUCUCUCUUUUUUUUUUUUUUUUGGUCUUUUUAGGGCCGCACCGUCUAGGGGUCAAAUCAGAGCUACAGCUGCCAGCCUCUGCCACAGCCAAAGCAACUCAGGAUUCAAGCCACAUCUGUGGCCUAUACCACAGCUCACAGUAAUGCCGGAUCCUUAACCCACUGAGCGAGGCCAGGGAUCGAACCUGUGUCCUCGUGCAUACUAGUCGAGUUCGUUAUUCCUGAGCUUGCCUGAACAUGCCUGAAUAUUUUAACAUGAGCUCAUAGGAGUCCAGAUAACGCAUCACUGCAAAACACCUCAUGGUGCCCAUCUUAGGGAAAAACCACCCACCUCCACAGCCCCUAACUAAGGAAAAGAAGGACCAGACCUGCUUUCUAGAAGAAAUCUGAACUAGGACAUCAAGAUCUAGAUUAGAAUGAAGAGUCCUGAAAAAUCACGAUAGUCGUGUGAACAAACCAGUCUGAUAGGAGCUACUGCAUGGCUAGCUCUUCUUUUCAGUAUGUUGCUGAGUGGGAGGGAAGCUUCGAGAAGGCAGGGACCUUGUCUCCUAAUGUCCCUGGCCCUCCAGUGUGUUAAGAAAGUGCUCGAUUCACAGGGAAGCUCCGUUGUCCUCACAGAUGGAGAGCUGCCCUUAGUGAGGACAUUAACCAGGUUAAGAGCCAGCCUUUACAGAAGAGUGAGGUCAAAGCCAGAGGAGGGAGCAGGACUGAAUCCUAGAUGUUUGGCGGAUGCAAACAGCCUCUUUAGGACUGAACUGGAAGGCAAAGGCCGUGGAGAUGCACCUCGCCGCAGCUCGGGCUCAGCCGCAAACUUGGACCUGCCCCAGGGAAACUGGGAAUGUCAAGGCCAGCCAGGUGUGAGGCUGUGCAGAGAGAGAAGACAAGCCGUAGCUGCCCCACCUCGCUCGGCCCCAGCAGAGUUAACCAGUCCCAGCCUGGGAGGGGGGAGAGCAGAAAAAAAAAACCACCACCACCUCCUCUAAAUGAAAAGGUCAACAAAGGCUCGAGACCAGAGGCCCCAGCCCUGCUAGGGAACAGCUCUGCACUCUGCCUUCUCAUUGUGGAAAAAAUACACAACAAGUAGAUUUCUGCACCCAUACGUCACCGAGACGAAAAUAAUGCAGCGGUUGGCUCAUGGAUUUAUCACAAGCAUUUUGCGAGUCUCAUUAUGUGCCAGUAGCUGUGCAACAUGCUGACAGUAGCUUUGCAAACAUCAAAACCAGAGUCUGAGUUCCUCUUCAGAUCAUCUCUCCCCAGCAGGUGGGCAGGCUCCGUCUCUGCUCCAGCAGGACCACGAGACUCGGCUGGGCACCCACCGGCGAGAGUGUCCCCGGACUGCAGAACACGGAGCCAGGACAAAGCAGGGGAUGGAGCCUAGAGGCAAAGGCAGGAUUUGGGGGUACAGACAGCCCCACGGAAGGAAAGGGAAACCCAGGCAGGAAACAGACACCAGGCAGGGGCAGAAAGACAAAAGCCACAGCUGCCAAAACAGAGUCAGGUGGGUCUGAUGUAGAGUAAAAGACAGCACCUGGAAGGUUCCAGAAGUGACAGGAAAGCACCUUUUUUUAACAAGAUGCCUCUGUCCUCACCGCACUGGGAAGGGGGUUGUUAAAACCACUCCCACUGGUUCAGGAUCGCUCAAGGCCCCAGUUGGAAUAUUCCAGCAAAUCUAAACUAUAGUCAGUAGUACCAUGACUUGGCGUGCCACUAAGACAGAAAGAAACCUAACAAAUUAGGAUCCACCACUGAUUUUAAAUGUAGACCAGUCUCCGAAAUGUGCAAAUACAAACAGUGGGCAUCAGAGAAUCAAUGAAAUACAGACACUUGGGAGGAAUAGACGAGGGAGAGAGAGGGACACCAUCCGUAAAUCCCAGGAGAGACUGGACGACGGCUUCCUGUUCAGGAUACACCGUGGUAACAUUGGAAUCCUGGUAACCAUGGAGACAGGAAAGCCGGUGAAAAGGAGGGAAGGAUGGAGGGGCACCAGAUCAGCUGUCUCCAAGACAGCAAAUCCAUCAGGAACCCCGGUCAGCGAGUUAGGGACCCUUCGAAACUCGGUCUGCACUGAUCCAGGAACACCUUUCCUCUCGAAUCACGGCCGUCCUCAGGGAGAACUUCGCCACAAACACGUGGAUGCAGCCAAGCAGCGCAUUCGCUGUGUUCGCUUCCCAGAGAGCGGACGAUCAGUGAAGGCUUGUUGACUAAUGAUGUAAUUCACAUGAUGAAGGAUUAAAUGAUGGGGUGGAUCAGGCAGUGAAACAGAGGCAUCUGCCUUUGAGCCCAGGGGCUGAGAGAGCGCUCAGGAGCAAUGUCUCAGCCUUCUUCAUCUGUGAACAACUGAUUAUAGGUGGGAAUUAAAGAUUAGGUAAUUUAGGAAAUAAAAA